rnacentral:misc_RNA from 1 species
CCGAGUUUACAACUCCCAAACCCCUGUGAACAUACCUAACGUUGCCUCGGCGGGAAAGCCCCGGGCGUUGGCGCAAGCCUCGCACCGGUAUCAGGCGCCCGCCGGAGGACCCAACUAAACUCUUCUGUAUUUUUUUGUUUACUGUAUACUGUCUGAGUAAAAAUUCAUAAUGAAUCA